UACGUAGGGUGCGAGCGUUGUCCGGAAUUAUUGGGCGUAAAGGGCUCGUAGGCGGUUUGUCGCGUCGGGAGUGAAAUCCACUGGCUUAACUGGUGGCUUGCUUUCGAUACGGGCAGACUGGAGGUAUGCAGGGGAGAACGGAAUUCCUGGUGUAGCGGUGAAAUGCGCAGAUAUCAGGAGGAACACCGAUGGCGAAGGCAGGUCUCUGGGCAUUAACUGACGCUGAGGAGCGAAAACAUGGGGAGCGAACAGG
rnacentral:rRNA from 1 species